AGCGCGGCUAAAUUCCGUCCGGAUUGUUGAAGUUCACGAAUGAACGUUGAUGUCGGCCGACUUGAGAUCAACAUGAUGAGCAGAUACAUGGAGAGCGCCGCGAUGACGAACUUCAGCACCAGAUUCUGGAGUGUAAUUAUUAUUUCCACCACGGCGUGGUGGGUAAAUUGAAGUUUUCGGGGAAUUUUCUACGGCCCGGCGGUCGGACUUGAUGGAGAUAACAAGCGCGCCGGCAGUACCGCCACAUCACACCGCGGAGAUGUGCUCAACAGGGCGGCGAACGACGGCUGGCAUUCCAUCCCACGGAGGCGGUUGUAUACGUCGUAGAAGCAAGCGACUUCAUCUUUUUACCUGGAACAAACAAGAUGAGCCAGUCUGCUGUGUGUUGCAGACGACCUCCGAUCGAACUGUGCAAGCAUUGCGCUCUCGACGCGGCAUUGGCUUCUGUCGGCUGUCGCCUUCCGCCUGAGCGAACUCACUCCCCGGUCUUGUCUUAUCACAACUGCCUGACGACCUUCAACACAUUGCAUCAACAGCGUUCGCAUCCCAUUCGUUUAUUGAUGAAAUCAUUCAUCUUAUGUUUACAGCUAAUUUACAUUCUUCGAUUUAUUGUUUAACAACACAUCCGACGCAUUACCUGUUAAGGAUUAGUCAUUUAGCUAUUAUUAAAUAAUUACUAAUAA